rnacentral:rRNA from 1 species
AACGAACGCUGGCGGCAUGCCUAACACAUGCAAGUCGAACGCGUGUAGCAAUACACGAGUGGCGGACGGGUGAGUAACGCGUAGGAACCUGCCCAAUGGUAGGGAAUAACUGCGGGAAACUGCAGCUAAUACCCUAUGCUCCCUACGGGGAAAAGAUUUAUCGCCAUUGGAGGGGCCCGCGUCGGAUUAGCUAGUUGGCGGGGUACUGGCCCACCAAGGCUACGACCCGUAGCUGGUCUGAGAGGAUGAUCAGCCACACUGGGACUGAGAUACGGCCCAGACUCCUACGGGAGGCAGCAGUGGGGAAUAUUGGACAAUGGGGGAAACCCUGAUCCAGCAAUGCCGCGUGAGUGAAGAAGGCCUUAGGGUUGUAAAGCUCUUUCGGCGGGGACGAUGGUGACGGUACCCGCAGAAGAAGCCCCGGCUAACUUCGUGCCAGCAGCCGCCGUAAAAC